AUACUUACCUGGCAGGGGAGACACCAGGAUCAGGCAGCUGGUUUUCCCAAGGCUGGUUUUCCCAAGUUCAUCCCCUGCACUCUGGGUGUCCUGACCCCUGGGAUUUCCCAAAAUCCAGGAAAUUUGGCUGCAUAAUUUGUAGUAACAGAGGACUGCUCUAGUAGAGGCCUUGG